rnacentral:rRNA from 1 species
GAUGAAUGCUGGCGGCGUGCCUAACACAUGCAAGUCGAGCGGUAACAGAUCUAGCUUGCUAGAUGCUGACGAGCGGCGGACGGCUGAGUAACGCGUGGGAACAUACCCCAAAGUGAGGGAUAACCGCCCGAAAGGGUGGCUAAUACCGCAUAUGGUCUUCGGAUUAAAGGAUUUAUCCGCUUUGGGAAUGGCCUGCGUACGAUUAGAUAGUUGGUGAGGUAAUGGCUUACCAAGUCUACGAUCGUUAACUGGUUUGAGAGGAUGAUCAGUCAGACUGGAACUGAGACACGGUCCAGACUCCUACGGGAGGCAGCAGUGAGGAAUCUUCCACAAUGGGCAAAAGCCUGAUGGAGCAACGCCGCGUGCAGGAUGAAGGCCUUCGGGUUGUAAACUGCUUUUGUAAGUGAAGAAUAUGACGGUAACUUAUGAAUAAGCACCGGCUAACUACGUGCCAGCCGCCGCCGUA